rnacentral:tRNA from 1 species
GUUCUUGUAGUUGAACUACAACGGUGGUUUUUCAUAUCACUAGUCAUGGUUGGAGCCCAUGCAGGAAUU